rnacentral:rRNA from 1 species
AAUGAACGUUGGCGGCGUGGAUUAGGCAUGCAAGUCGAGCGGUAAGGCUCCUUCGGGAGUACACGAGCGGCGAAAGGGAGAGUAACGCGUGGAUUAUCUACCCUGGGGUCCGGAAUAGCUGCGGGAAACUGCAGGUAAUGCCGGAUAAUAUCUACGGAUCAAAGGUGUGAUUCCGCCCUUGGAGGAGUCCGCGUCCUAUUAGCUUGUUGGUGGGGUAAUGGCCUACCAAGGCGACGAUGGGUACCGGGUGUGAGAGCAUGACCCGGCUCACUGGGACUGAGACACUGCCCAGACACCUACGGGUGGCUGCAGUCGAGAAUCUUCGGCAAUGGGCGCAAGCCUGACCGAGCGACGCCGCGUGUGGGAUGAAGGCCUUCGGGUUGUAAACCACUGUCGUAGAGGAGGAAAUGCAUUGGGGUUCUCCCCAGUGUUUGACCUAUUCUAGGAGGAAGGACGGGCUAAGUUCGUGCCAGCAGCCGCCGUAA